rnacentral:rRNA from 1 species
AGUUACCGCAGGAUAACAGCGCUACAGAAUUUCAGAGACCAUAUCCAAAAUUCUACCUCCGACCUCGAUGUUGAAUUAAUUAAGCUAUACUAAGCAAAAAGAGUAUAAGCAGGUCUGUUCGACCAUUAGUCAAUAAUUACAUGAUUUGAGUUCAGACCGGCGCAAGCCAGGUCUGUUUAUAUCCUCUAAUAAAUUAGUAUUAGUACGAAAGGACCAUACAAACAAUUAAA